UACAGAAAUAUACAUAUAUAUAUAUAUAUCAACAGUAGAGUCCAGUGUAAUCCAUAGGCAGGAGAGGUGCAGCCAGAGUGUAGAAAGGUAGAAAGUCCAGUAGAGAAGUUCGUGGGUGACGAGAGGAGACAGGAUCAACUGGUGCGACCACGUGAGCAUGUAUUAUAUGGGGAGAAUACAC